UGUACUUGGCCGAAGAAGGAUUGUAGCUCGGUGAAGUGGGGCUGUAGUUCGGUGAAGUAGGGCUGUAGCUCGGUGACGUCGGGCUGUAACCAGGCGAUGUAGGGCUGUAUGCAGGCGAUGUAGGGCUGUAUGAGGGCGAGGUAGGGCUGUAUGAGGGGGAUGUCGGGCUGUAUGAGGGUGACGUGGGGCUGUAUGAGGGUGAUGUCGGGCUGUACGAGGGAGAAGUAGGGCUGUAUGAUGGCGACGUUGGGCUGUAAGAUGGCGACGUCGGGCUGUAUGCAGGAGAUGUUGGGCUGUAUGCUGGCGAGGUCGGACUAUAAACCGGUGAUGUUG
rnacentral:lncRNA from 1 species